rnacentral:rRNA from 1 species
UUACCAGGCCUUGACAUGCAGAGAACUUUCCAGAGAUGGAUUGGUGGCCUUCGGGAACUCUGACACAGGUGCUGCAUGGCUGUCGUCAGCUCGUGUCGUGAGAUGUUGGGUUAAGUCCGUAACGAGCGCAACCCUUGUCCUUAGUUACCAGCACGUUAUGGUGGGCACUCUAAGGAGACUGCCGGUGACAAACCGGAGGAAGGUGGGGAUGACGUCAAGUCGUCAUGGCCCUUACGGCCUGGGCUACACACGUGCUACAAUGGUCGGUACAAAGGGUUGCCAAGCCGCGAGGUGGAGCUAAUCCCAUAAAACCGAUCGUAGUCCGGAUCGCAGUCUGCAACUCGACUGCGUGAAGUCGGAAUCGCUAGUAAUCGUGAAUCAGAAUGUCACGGUGAAUACGUUCCCGGGCCUU